rnacentral:lncRNA from 1 species
UCUCUCUCUAGAAUUUUCUCUCUCUUCAUGGAUUUUCUCUCUCUAAAAGUCUUAUGGAUCAGUGGAGGAUCCAGAUACUUAGAUAAAUCUUAAUUUUGAUUAAUCCUAAGAGAGAUCCUCGAUUUGUGUUAUUAGGAUCGAUUAUCGGUAAUUUCUCUAUAUAUGAUUUUUAUAUUGAUCAGGGUCAUGAAGAGAUGAUUGUCUGCAUAUGAUAUCGAGUGGAAUAUUUUGUUAAAAAAAUUCAUAAAUCAAAGAAGAACAUUGAUUUCUGUGCUUGGAUCAGUCACCGGUAAAGGUAAG